ensembl:lncRNA LINC02552 long intergenic non-protein coding RNA 2552
AGCACAAGACAUCCUGACCUUCAAGGGAGGGAGGAACACCUUGAGAGGAGUUGAGAUCCUGCUUUCUCUUCAGAAUGCCAUCUCUAGGAUGCCAAUGGGCUGUGUCUACAGUACUAUGUAGGAAAGUGCUGCAAGAGUUCUUUCUGUCACCUCUCUGAAGACCUGGUUCAUAUCUGCAGCUGCAACUCUAUCCCUGAACUCAUCUUUGAAACUACCCAGAGAUAGACUGUCAAGAGCUUCAGAGCUUUACAACAGGAUCUUCCAAGUGCCCUGAGAGGUCAUGAUGGAGCCAAUAGAAAUAAAUCAUACAAAACAAAGCCAGAACCUGGUGGGAGGGAUGCUUACAAAACAACAUAAACGAGAAGUUGUCUGAAAAAAAAUUGUAUGGAAGGAAGAAGAGAUGAGAUAAGGGAAAUGAACUCAUAAUAGCCCCAGUUAAAAUACUUACAGUAAAAUAUCAUUAGUACUACUUGAUGUUGGUGAAAGGCUCUAGACUCAAGUCAGAAGGCCCAAUUUGUUGCUGUGAUUUCUUGAACAAAUUAUGUAAUUGUGUUGAGAUUCAGUUUUCUUUUCUAUCAUUGGGUAUUAAUAACUUCUAUGUGAUGUCAGAGUUAUGAUGUGAAGUUAAAAUAACUAAUAAAUGGGUAAACCCUGAAAAUUUGAUAGAAUUUUGUGAAUGAGAGAAUCUUACAAAUACAGUACCUGAAACCAAAAGAAUUAAGUCUCAGCUUGAGGAAUAUCAGAUACUAGGGCAGGCUAAUGGGAUAAAGGUCUCAUUGAUCUGCCACCUUCAGUCACACUGAAAUGGGGCUAUAUUUUUUUUAUUUACUUACCUACCAGUACUGCCAAUAGUCAAAAUAGUACUACUUUCCAAGUUAUUUAACUUUUUUAGUAUAACAGAAAAAAAAAUCAUUUCUAGUUUUCAAGGCAUGGAUUCAAUGAGUAAUAUAGAUUUAUAUCACUUGGUGAAGACAUGGCAAUUUCCCUGAUACCACUGAAAAAUAAAUUUAAAAAUGCUAUUUGAUACCUUCUUUAAAAGCUUUUUUUGUUUGUUUCUUUGCUGAAAUGGCAAGGAUUGAAGAUAAUUGGAUUUACAAAACAACAUAGCAAGAGCUCCCAAUUUCAGUAUUGUGACAGGUCCAUUGAUAAAACCUGCUCAGGCAGAGACCAAGUUGGAAGGAAGGAUAGGUUAUUAUUUUAGUUCUCCUGAGGUAAAAUAAAUAUUCUUAAAAACGUGCAUCCAUCCAUCCUCUUUUAAGUAGAGAGGUCAUCAGUCUCUUUCCUUAUUAAAAUGAGCACAAACUGAACAUGCAUAGAUUGAUUCUCUCUAUUCAGUUGCAGUUUGAAACUUAGCCUGCUACACAUUUUAACAGAAUUUUCUACACAUUUUAACAGACACACACUUUCUACACAUUUUUAACAGAAGCAUUUUAACAGACAUUUCUCAAUGUGGCUCUCUGACUUUAUGACAUCAGAGGAAGCAGUCUUCAACCUGGUAAAAAACGUAAAGAAAAUGCAAUGUCUACUUAUAAACUUAACAAGAAUAUCAAUGACAACUAUUUUACCAAUGAAUUUAAAGAUUUGGAGAUUUCACAUAAUAGCCAGUAGCUCUUUGACAUAAAUAUAAAGCUAUAUAAUCCACAAUUCCAUUCUUUGCUUAUUUUAUGUUUUUCUGAAGUAGUUAUUGAGCACCUAUUGUGUGUAAAGAGCUGGAAUGGACAUAAGAAUACAGAAUGGCAAUAGGUUCAAAGAAUGCCAAGUACAGGAAGAGGAAAGAUGCUGAGUUCUUGUCUGGAUUUGACUUUAAUUAGUUUUAUGACCUUGGUUAAGUCACUUCUCCCAUGUAAAUCAUUGAACACUUUUUUAUUGAGGGCUUCCCAUAGGUAGAAACAAGAAUGACUGAGGAACAAAUAAACCCGGCCUCAGCCUUUGUGGAACUGACAUGGUAGUGGGUAAGAUAAAUAUUAAAGAAUUAAACACAUAAACAAAUAUAAGUAAAGAUUAUAUAAAGUGUAACCAAAAGUAAAUAAUGUUAAAGAAUUUUUAAACAUUGAGCUUCUGAUUCAAUCGGCCAGUCAUGGAAUACUUAUCCGAGGAAGCAAAAUUUAGACUGAUACUUGAAGGAAGAAAGAUUGCUGGGUGUAAAUAACAAACGUGGAAGCGUAACAGAUCUGAGGAAGUUCAGGCCAGUGUGGUUGAAACGCAGAGACCAAACGGAAGAAGGCAAAGGAUGAGACUUACUAACCAGACACUGCCCAAAUCCUGCAAGGCCUUACAGACAUGGUACUUGCACUGGGACUACUAAAAGAAACAACUUUACCCAUGAAGAAUGCAGAAAAGCAAGGCAGGAUGGUGGCCCACCCUGGAAGGACAUGGAGCCAAGGGAGCCUCCCCCAUCCAGGGAGGUGGUGAGUGAAUGCUGUGGCCCUGGGAACCCACGCUUCUCCCAUGGGUCUUCGUACCCUUGGGUCAGGAGAUCCCCUCGUGGACCCACUCCACCAGGGCCUUCAGUCUGACACACAGAACUAUGUGGAGUCUCAUCAGAGCAGCCAUUGAGUUUGCCGAGAAUGAUGGUUUCCAGCUUCAUCCAUGUCCCUGCAAAAGACAUGAACUCAUCAUUUUUUAUGGCUCCACAGUAUUCUAUGGUGUGUAUGUGCCACAUUUUCUUUAUCCAGUCUAUUGUUGAUGGGCAUUUGGGUUGGUUCCAAGUCUUUGCUACUGUGAACAGUGCUGCAAUAAACAUAUGUGUGCAUGUGUCUUUAUAGUAGAAUGAUUUAUAAUCCUUUGGGUAUAUACCCAGUAAUGGGAUUGCUGAGUCAAAUGGCAUUUCUGGUUCUAGAUCCUUGAGGAAUUGCCACAGUGUCUUCCACAAUGGUUGAACUAAUUUUCUUUCUUGGGGUUUGUGGAACUUCUUAGAUGUGUGAGGUUAUAAUUUUCAUCAAAUUUAAACAGUUUUCAGCCACUAUGUCUGAAAAUAUUUCUUUUCUGUCCUCACCAUUGCUCUUCUGGGACUCAAACUAUAUGUACAUUAGACAGCUUACUAUUUUCCCACAAAUUUCUAUGACAUGGUUUAUUUUUCUCAGUAUUUUUUCUCUUUUUGCUUUACUUUACAGGGUUUCUAUUUUUUUUUAAUUUUAUUUUAGGGUCAGGGAUACAAGUGAAGGUUUGUUACACAGGUAAACUCGUGUCACAGGGUUUUGUUGUAAAGAUUAUUUCAUCACCUAGGAAUUAAGCCCCAUACCAAUAAUUAUCUUUUCUGCUCCUCUCCCUCCUCCUACCCUUCACUGUCAAGUAGGCACCAGUGUCUGUGGUUCCCCUCUAUGUGUCCACAUGUUCUAAUCAUUUCACUCCCACUUAUAAAUAAGAACAUGCAGUAUUUGGUUUCCCUUGAAGUUACUGUAUUUACUCACCCCUUCCAUUCCUCUCCAUGAGAGCCACCCACACUAGCUGCUUUGAGUCAGCCAUCUUGGUCCUCUUUCCUAUGUUUUUCAUAUACAUGUAAAAAUUAACUACUUUGCAUUGUGGUAUCUGUUAGUGUAUUUCUAUGCAAAUGUAAAAAUGUUCUCUAUGUGGGUGAUAUAACACAUAAAAGUAUUCCUUACAAAUAACUCUAUGGCUGCCGUUUCAAAUGACAAUAUCGAGUGGGUAGGGGAUGGAGUUGAGUAAGCUGUGUUUACUAAACAAAAAGAUACUUAUUAGGGUAUCUACUUCCAAGUCUACCCUUUGGUGCAUUACUUAUUUAUAUCUAUGCCAACUAAAAACAUGGUCAUAGUUUUAAUCACACAAGACUAUGACUUCUAGAUUUUAACCCCUGGGACCUUAUUCUAUCAUGUCUUAAUGUAAAAGCUUAACAUUGGUCUAGGCACUUAAUAGAUGUGUGAUAAAGGAAGAAUGAAUCCUUAAAGCAGGGGAAAGAUACAAUCUAUUCAAAGUAAACUUCUGUUUUUCUGCUCAUUUCUCCUUUGAAAGUGUAAGCUAUAUGGAGGCAUCUUUAUCUCCCACUACGUUUUCUGAUUCAGAUGCAUAUAUAGCAGGCCUCGGAGAUAUUGCAAGUUUGGUUUCAGACCAUUGCAAUAAAGCAAAUAUCACAAUAAAGCAAGUCACAUUUUUUUGGUUUCCUAGCACAUAGAAAAGUUAUCUUUAUACUAUACUUUAAAUCUGUUAAGUGUGCAAAAAAGUAAAUAUAUAUCAAUUAAAAAUAAUUUAUUGUUAAAAACUACUGACACAGAGACAUGAAGUGAACACAUGAUGUUGGAUAAAUGGUGACAACAGACAUGCUUAAUGCAGGGUCACUACAAACCUUCAAUUUGUAAAAAUAUGCAAUAUUUGCAAAGCACAAUAAAGUGUGAUGCACAAUAAAAUUAAGUAUGCUUGUAUAAAGGAAGGGGCGAAUUAACUGGAAAAUGCAAUCUACUCAACAACCCUUCGCACUGAUUAGGGUGUUUAAUUUGCACCUUCUUUCCCAUGGGAGUAUGGAGCUCCAUGUAAAGCAACUUAAUGAUUAUUUUCAGUAAAUACAGGUGACUAUGACUAUAAACAGGCUCUGUCUCCAUUAAUAAGAGAAUGCAGUAUCCCGAGUCCAAAGUCAUUGUAUUUAAUGAAUACAACUGACUGUAAUGAUUUAUUCGUAGAUUUAUCAGUGAUUAUAAAUUAUUUUUAUAAGCUUUGUUCAAACCACACAAAGCACAAAAAUAAAUCAUCUCAAGAUUCACUUUUAUAAAUUGAAAAAAAUAAAAUUUGCCAAAGACUUUACAACACUUGGAAUGAAAAUAAUCACUAAAUAAAGUUUAACCAUGUGGCUUUUACCAAAUUAGAAACAUAUUUUUUUAAGUCAGGAAAUAUUGAGCGAUAGCAUUCCAAGCACCAUAUUCCACUCUCAAUGGAACAUUACAAGUCAAACUAUUGUUAAUUAUACGGAAUGAUAUGUUGACGUAAAAAGAACCUUGGGUGUUCUCACUGAAAGAAAAUUAAGUUGCCAUUUUUUUUUGUAGUGAGUUUACAUCUUCUUCCAUAGUAUUGAACAAUAUCACAAAUAGGAAAAUAAGAUGCCUUGAAUGAUAACGUCCUCUUGUGAAAACAUCAAAAUAACAUGUAGUAAUGGAUACGGUUGUAUUUCCUAAGUCUUUGCUUUGAAAUUUGCAAAUCCCAACUCAUAAAUGGCUUGUAAAUAAUUGAUUCAGAAAUCUGUU